AGUAGCAAUACUAGUGGCAGACGGGUGAGUAACAUGUAGGUAUCUGCCCUUUGGCCUGGAAUAACACGAGGAAACUUGUGCUAAUACCGGAUAAGUCUUUACGGAGAAAGCUUUAUGCACCAUUGGAUGAGCCUGCACUUGAUUAGUUUGUUGGUGGGGUAAUGGCCUACCAAGACUGUGGUCAAUAGCUGAUUUGAGAGGAUGAUCAGCCACAUUGGGACUGAGACACGGCCCAAACUCCUACGGGAGGCAGCAGUGGGGAAUCUUGCACAAUGGAGGAAACUCUGAUGCAGCGAUGCCGCGUGAGUGAAGAAGGCCCUUGGGUUGUAAAGCUCUUUCGUCGGGGAAGAGAAUGACUGUACCCGAAUAAGAAGGUCCGGCUAACUUCGUGCCAGCAGCCGCGGUAAUACGAAGGGACCUAGCGUAGUUCGGAAUUACUGGGCUUAAAGAGUUCGUAGGUGGUUGAAAAAGUUGGUGGUGAAAUCCCAGAGCUUAACUCUGGAACUGCCAUCAAAACUUUUCAGCUAGAGUAUGAUAGAGGAAAGCAGAAUUUCUAGUGUAGAGGUGAAAUUCGUAGAUAUUAGAAAGAAUACCAAUUGCGAAGGCAGCUUUCUGGAUCAUUACUGACACUGAGGAACGAAAGCAUGGGUAGCGAAGAGGAUUAGAUACCCUCGUAGUCCAUGCCGUAAACGAUGUCUGCUAGCCGUUUGGGCACUUAGU
rnacentral:rRNA from 1 species